rnacentral:tRNA from 1 species
GGAGCAGGUGGUAGCUCAGUGGUAGAGCGCAUGCUUUGUGUGUACGACGUCCCGGGGUUCAAAUCCCAGCUGCUCCC